GUUGUCAUAAAUGUGAUUCUGUAAUAUUAUUUGUGAAUAAUUAAUUAUUGAUUCAUAUGAUAAGGAAAUAUUUAUUUUAUGUGAAUAUAAAUGAUGGAUUUAUUUAUGUGGUUAUUCAUGAAGGAGUUAAUGUUGAGGUGUUUUAUUAGUAUUUUUGUCGGAAUGAAGGUAUUAAAAAAUUAAACCAGUGUUUUUGAAAUAUAUUGUGUGAGUUAUAAUUUUUAAUCUGACCAUUGGAUCGUUGUAAUUUUUGGAUAUGUUAUACAUAUAUAAGUUGAGUAUAUGUCCACAAAUUUUGAACCGUUAAAAAUGAACGUAUAAUUUGUUAUGAAUUUUAAGAGGUGACUGGUUCAGAAAUUGUUGAAGUAUCCGAAUUUAGCAUUUUGGUGGAAAAUUCUAGAAUUGAGUGGACCCCACUUGUGGUUGGUGAAGAAAUGUGCUGAAUUUUAUUUCAAAUAUGGUGGGUGGCAAUAGUAGCAGGUAAAGCCAUCAGGUUGCAGGUCAAGUCUGCUUCAAUGUGCUAACAUUUUUCUAAAAAUAGAGGGCUAAGUUAGAAUUGAAAAUCACACCAGAAUUCAUAAGUUUUCUCUCUUUCUCUUUAUAUAUUAUCGAGCGUAUUCUUGUGAGUAUUUUGAUACUUUGAGUGUUGCUAUACGGUGCAAGUUCCUUCAGCACUAUAUCCAGUAUUCCAGUCAAAAGUACUGUCUUUUUGAGGUAAGGGAUGUUAUUUUCGUCGUAAGUGAUAUUAUUUCUUCAAUAUCAUUAUGCCGAAAUAUUUGUUGGAACUUUUUAUCAAAUUUGAAACUUUUCAUGUCGGGGUUACUAUUCAUGAGUUACUAUUUAUGAGUUACUAUUCACGAGUUACUAUUCACGCGUAUUAUUUACGAAGCAUGAUAAUUUUUCUUGUGAAAUUUCUAUCUUUUAGUGUCGGAGUUACUAUUCACGUAUACGGCACUAUUCAC
rnacentral:lncRNA from 1 species